UUUGUGUAAACAUAGUGGUCACUUGAAGACACACAUGAAGAAACACACAGGAGAGGGACUGUACAAGUGAGAGGUGUGUGGCUAUUCGUGUAAACAUAGUGGUCACUUGAAGACACACAUGAAGAAACACACAGGAGAGGGACUGUACAAGUGAGAGGUGUGUGGCUAUUCGUGUGAACAUAGUGGUCACUUGAAGACACACAUGAAGAAACAUACAGGAGAGAGACUGCACAAGUGAGAGGUGUGUGGUAAAGCAUAUAAAGAGAGUGGUCACUUGAAGGCACACAUGAAGAUACAUACAGGAGAGACCAUACAAGGGUGAGGUGUGUGGUUAUGUAUGUAACCAAAGUGGUGAUUUGAAGACACACAUGAGGAUACAUAUAGGAGACUGACUUAAACAAGUGUGAGGUGUGUGGUUAUCCAUGUAACCAGAUUGGACCCUCGAAAACGUGAAGUAGCACAUGAGGAUAUAUAUGAAUGUAAGGGAAGAAAUAGCUAAAACAUGAACAUUUAAGAAAUCUCUGACACCACAAGUAUUGGGGCUUUAAUAUUUGGUGUGUAACAUUAUCUAGUGAUCCUCUUCUAAAUUGUUUAACCCUUUGCAUGCUGGGAAAUUUGUUGUCUGCUUAAAUGACGUCUGCUGAAUUUUUAAAAUUAGCAUUAUGUUCAUUUUUUUUAAAGAAUAAUAUCAGAAUAGCAAACAGUUUGGAUCCUGAUGAGACGCCACUGUUUGCAAAAGCCUUCAAAAUUCGGUUCCAGCACUUAAAGAGUUGGGUCAAACCCCUGGGGUGUAAAAUAGUCACACAUCAUGUAUCACAGGAUUAAUAUAGACUUGUAUAGUAAAAUGACUAAACAAACUUUUCUAAAAAGACAAGGCCCAGAAGUGUAAGGUGUAUUAUAUGACAAGUAAAAUUGUAUUGUAAUGUGUUACUCCACCAAGGUUAUUAAAGUCAUGUCCCUUAGGUAAAACGUUGCUGUGUACUAAAGCUUUUUUGUUUCUAUUAUAUGUAUAUUGGGAAAACUUCAAAAAUCGUCCUUUCUGAAACUAUAAGGCCAAGAUGUUUUGUGUUUGGCAUGUAACAUCAAAAUGACAUAUAUGAACUGCACCAACUUUGUUUAAAACAUGCCAUUGGGGUCUAAACUGGUCCGUCUCGGUUGUUACCUGUUUCCCAUAUAUGUAUAUAGUUUAUUCCCAAAUAUGUAUAUAGUUAAAACUCAAAUAUUUGAAACACCAAUGUACAGAGGUUUGGUAUUAAGCAUGAUAUAUGGUCAUCUUUCAAGUUUGUUCAAAUGGUGCCAACAAUUCAAAAUUGGUCACACCGUGUGGUUACUUGUUUUUUAAUACAGUAUAAUAGUGAAAACUUUUAAAAUCUUCUCCUCUAAAACUUCAAGGGAUGGGGAUUCGGUAAAUGACCAGUAACAUCAUUUUGUGGUCAUCUACCAAGUUUGUAAAUAUCAUGCCCAUGUGAUUGAAAUUGGCUAGUGUUGAACUUGUUUGAAUGAUGUAUCUCUGACGAGAUUGAAAGUGCUUGUAGUCGGUUCUUGUUUCUUUAUAUGGCUAUAGUGAACACUGUAGGAUAGUAUGAAUAUAACGUUAACUCAAAUAGUGUGAAUCAAUGGUUUAUAUAAGUGACCAUCCUAGGAUUGCACAUGGAGUUGCAUAUAUGCAACAUUUUUUUCAUCAAUUAUCAUAUGCAUAUUUUGAAUUUGUAUAUGGUUUCAAAAAUUAAAAGUUGUGUACUGGGAAUUUUCAUCAUGAAAUUAUAUUCUUAGUAGGAUAGGUAUUCGAUAUUCCAACAAUAUUCAUUUAAUAUGAUGGUGAUUGUAAAUUGUCUUUAUAUUCAGUUCUCAUUAGCAUUUUCAUCAUACUUUCUAUGCUUUCACAACGUCCAAAAAGGGCCAUGUUGUUGUUAUUUUGUCUUGGUUAUCUCUAUAAAAUAAAUAGGAUGAUAAAAAGUGCACACAAAUCUCGACCCGUGCGUUAUGACACACUCUUUAUAAAUUUGAAUGGCGUGUGUUACUUUCAAACUUGCGAUUAAUUUUGCAAAAAAUGAGUUGCGCCUUAAAUUAUGCAAUAGCGAACAACGUCAGU